rnacentral:rRNA from 1 species
GAUGAACGCUGGCGGCGUGCCUAAUACAUGCAAGUCGAGCGAACAGAUGAGGAGCUUGCUCCUCUGACGUUAGCGGCGGACGGGUGAGUAACACGUGGAUAACCUACCUAUAAGACUGGGAUAACUUCGGGAAACCGGAGCUAAUACCGGAUAAUAUAUUGAACCGCAUGGUUCAAUAGUGAAAGACGGUUUUGCUGUCACUUAUAGAUGGAUCCGCGCCGCAUUAGCUAGUUGGUAAGGUAACGGCUUACCAAGGCAACGAUGCGUAGCCGACCUGAGAGGGUGAUCGGCCACACUGGAACUGAGACACGGUCCAGACUCCUACGGGAGGCAGCAGUAGGGAAUCUUCCGCAAUGGGCGAAAGCCUGACGGAGCAACGCCGCGUGAGUGAUGAAGGUCUUCGGAUCGUAAAACUCUGUUAUUAGGGAAGAACAAAUGUGUAAGUAACUAUGCACGUCUUGACGGUACCUAAUCAGAAAGCCACGGCUACCUACGUG